UACAGAGGGGGCAAGCGUUGUUCGGAAUUACUGGGCGUAAAGGGCGCGUAGGCGGCCUGUUAAGUCGAACGUGAAAUCCCCGGGCUCAACCCGGGAACUGCGUCCGAUACUGGCAGGCUUGAAUCCGGGAGAGGGAUGCGGAAUUCCAGGUGUAGCGGUGAAAUGCGUAGAUAUCUGGAGGAAUACCGGUGGCGAAGGCGGCAUCCUGGACCGACAUUGACGCUGAGUGAGCGAAAGCUAGGGGAGCAAACGGG
rnacentral:rRNA from 1 species